rnacentral:lncRNA from 1 species
UUCUCCAGGCAACCGCCUGGAAACAGAGACAUCACAUACCAUACGAACGAGUCCAAUUUUGGUGUCAAUAAGCACCUUUUAUUGGCUACCGUUUGGUGUCAAUAAUCACCUUUUAUUGGCAACCUUCCAAGAGAGAUAUGGGCUGUUGAAUGGCUCUUAAAUCUCCCGACGAUUUCAGAGUCUAGAUUAAUUAGGGACAAUAUAGUCAUAUAGUAUUUAAUAAUUUUGUUGGAUCAUAGCCCAACCAUCUUCGGUU